rnacentral:rRNA from 1 species
UACGAAGGGGGCUAGCGUUGUUCGGAUUUACUGGGCGUAAAGCGCGCGUAGGCGGAUCGUUAAGUCGGGGGUGAAAUCCUGGAGCUCAACUCCAGAACUGCCUUUGAUACUGGCGACCUUGAGUCCGGGAGAGGUGAGUGGAACUGCGAGUGUAGAGGUGAAAUUCGUAGAUAUUCGCAAGAACACCAGUGGCGAAGGCGGCUCACUGGCCCGGUACUGACGCUGAGGUGCGAAAGCGUGGGGAGCAAACAGGG